GACGAACGCUGGCGGCGUGCCUAACACAUGCAAGUCGAACGGAACUUCUUUAAAGGAUUUCUUCGGAAUGAAUUCNAUUAAGUUUAGUGGCGGACGGGUGAGUAACGCGUGAGUAACCUGCCUCUAAGAGGGGAAUAACAUUCUGAAAAGAAUGCUAAUACCGCAUAAUAUAUAUUUAUCGCAUGGUAGAUAUAUCAAAGAUUUAUCGCUUAGAGAUGGACUCGCGUCCGAUUAGUUAGUUGGUGAGGUAACGGCUCACCAAGACCGCGAUCGGUAGCCGGACUGAGAGGUUGAACGGCCACAUUGGGACUGAGACACGGCCCAGACUCCUACGGGAGGCAGCAGUGGGGGAUAUUGCGCAAUGGGGGAAACCCUGACGCAGCAACGCCGCGUGAAGGAUGAAGGUCUUCGGANUGUAAACUUCUUUUAUUAAGGACGAAGAAAGUGACGGUACUUAAGAAUAAGCUCCGGC
rnacentral:rRNA from 1 species